AAUAAGAGAGGCAAGUAGUGUCUCGGUAGAGGAAGAAAAAGGGAGAAAAGGGAAGAAAAAAAAAGAAGAAAAGGGAGGGAAAGAAGUGGAAGUUCUAAACAAGAAAAUUACGAUCUACGAAGAUCCAACGGUCGGAUCUUCAAUCCGUUUUCGGAAACGUGAUCCUUGCACUCGGAUCUACGUUCUUACCGAUUGUUUUAAGGUAUUUGAACUUAUUGGAGUUUACUUGAGGCUACCCAAACUUUGGGUUGAAGUUUGGAGAAUUUGGCGGCACUUUGUGGAUUGAGCCUAGGACUUAUUAGUGUUGGUGUGCAAGCAGUCAGAUGAUGUCCAUUUGACUGCAGGUACACCUGACUUAGAGGAGGACCCCGUAGCUGCGUAUUUGGGAUAUUACGAUUGAAGCACACCGCGACAGUCGUAUUGAGUUGGACUAUGGAGUUCACUCUUUUGGGGUAUUUUGUAUAUGGCUAGUAACGUAGGUGUCACAUAUUCUUUUGUGUAG